CCUUCGGGGUACUCGAGCGGCGAACGGGUGAGUAACACGUGAGCAACCUGCCCCAGGCUUUGGGAUAACCCCGGGAAACCGGGGCUAAUACCGAAUAUGACCUCUGACCGCAUGGUUGGUGGUGGAAAGUUUUUCGGCUUGGGAUGGGCUCGCGGCCUAUCAGCUUGUUGGUGGGGUGAUGGCCUACCAAGGCGACGACGGGUAGCCGGCCUGAGAGGGCGACCGGCCACACUGGGACUGAGACACGGCCCAGACUCCUACGGGAGGCAGCAGUGGGGAAUAUUGCACAAUGGGCGGAAGCCUGAUGCAGCGACGCCGCGUGAGGGAUGACGGCCUUCGGGUUGUAAACCUCUUUCAGCAGGGACGAAGCGUAAGUGACGGUACCUGCAGAAGAAGCGCCGGCCAACUACGUGCCAGCAGCCGCGGUAAGACGUAGGGCGCGAGCGUUGUCCGGAUUUAUUGGGCGUAAAGAGCUCGUAGGCGGCUUGUCGCGUCGACCGUGAAAACUUGGGGCUCAACCCCAAGCCUGCGGUCGAUACGGGCAGGCUAGAGUUCGGUAGGGGAGACUGGAAUUCCUGGUGUAGCGGUGAAAUGCGCAGAUAUCAGAGGAACACCGGUGGCGAAAGGCGGGUCUCUGGGCCGAUACUGACGCUGAGGAGCGAAAGCGUGGGGAGCGAACAGGAUUAGAUACCCU
rnacentral:rRNA from 1 species